AUGAACGCUUGCGGCGUGCCUAAUCCAUGCAAGUCGAGCGAACAGACGAGGAGCUUGCUCCUUUGACGUUAGCGGCGGACGGGUGAGUAACACGUGGAUAACCUACCUAUAAGACUGGGAUAACUUCGGGAAACCGGAGCUAAUACCGGAUAACAUGUUGAACCGCAUGGUUCAACAGUGAAAGACGGUCUUGCUGUCACUUAUAGAUGGAUCCGCGCCGCAUUAGCUAGUUGGUAAGGUAACGGCUUACCAAGGCAACGAUGCGUAGCCGAACUGAGAGGGUGAUCGGCCACACGGGAACUGAGACACGGUCAAGACUCCUACGAGAGGCAGCAGUAGGGAAUCUUCCGCAAUGGGCGAAAGCCUGACGGAGCAACGCCGCGUGAGUGAAGAAGGUCUUCGGAUCGUAAAACUCUGUUAUUAGGGAAGAACAAAUGUGUAAGUAACUAUGCACGUCUUGACGGUACCUAAUCAGAAAGCCACGGCUAACUACGUG
rnacentral:rRNA from 1 species